GACGAACGCUGGCGGCGUGCUUAACACAUGCAAGUCGAGCGGAAAGGCCCUGCGUUUGUGGGGUGCUCGUGUGGCGAGCGGGUGAGUAACACGUGAGUAACCUGCCCUUGUCUUUGGGAUAACUUCAGGGAACUCGGGCUAAUACCGGAUAGGAUCUCCUGCUGCAUGGUGUGCGUUAGAGAGUUUCGGCUGUUGGGGAUGGACUGGCGGGUUAUCAGCUUGUUGGUGGGGUAGUGGCUUACCAAGGUUUUGACGGGUAGCCGGCAUGAGAGGGGUACCGGGCACAAUGGGACUGCGAUACGGCCCAGACGCCUACGGGAGGCAGCAGUGGGGAAUAUGGCAGAAUGGGCGGAAGUCUGAUGCAGCAACGCCGCGUGCGUGAUGAUGGCCUUCGGGUUGUAAACCGCUUUCGCAUGUGACGAAGAGUGAGUGACGGUAACGGGUAAAGAAGCACCGGCUAACUACGUG
rnacentral:rRNA from 1 species